rnacentral:rRNA from 1 species
AACGCUGGCGGCGUGCUUAACACAUGCAAGUCGGAUGCGAACGGCGCUUUCGGGCGUUGAGUAGCAUGGCAGACGGGUGAGGAGCGCGUAUCUGACUGGACUCAGGCUGGGGGAUAGUCCCUCGAAAGGGGGUUGAAUACCGCAUGUGCUCGGUGCUGUGAGGGCAUCGAGGAAAGUUGGCCUCUGCGGGCACGCUGAUGGCCUGAGACAGGGAUGCGUCCUAUUAGCUAGCUGGUGGGGUAAGGGCCUACCAGGGCGACGAUGGGUAGCUGGUCUGAGAGGAUGAUCAGCCACACUGGGACUGCGACACGGCCCAGACUCCUACGGGAGGCAGCAGUGGGGAAUUUUGCGCAAUGGGCGCAAGCCUGACGCAGCAACGCCGCGUGCAUGACGACGCCUUUCGAGGUGUAAAGUGCUGUCGACCGGGACGAAGGGGCGAGGGUGAACAGCUUUCGCGCAUGACGGUACCGGUGGAGGAAGCCCCGGCUAACUCCGUGCCAGCAGCCGCGGUAAGACGGAGGGGGCGAGCGUUGUUCGGAAUUACUGGGCGUAAAGCGCGCGUAGGCGGUGCAGCAAGUGGUGCGUGAAAGCCCUCGGCUUAACCGGGGACGGGCGUGCCAAACUGUUGGACUGGAGUGCCGGAGGGGGAGGCGGAAUUCCUGGUGGAGCGGUGAAAUGCGUAGAGAUCAGGAAGAACGUCGGUGGCGAAGGCGGCCUCCUGGACGGACACUGACGCUGAGGUGCGACAGCGUGGGGAGCGAACGGGAUUAGAUACCCCGGUAGUCCACGCCGUAAACGAUGGGUACUAGGUGUGGGGCUUGU